GCUACUGGACCUAGCGGCGGACGGGAUAGUAAUGCUUAGGAAUCUGCCUAUUAGUGGGGGACAACAUCUCGAAAGGGAUGCUAAUACCGCAUACGUCCUACGGGAGAAAGCAGGGGAUCUUCGGACCUUGCGCUAAUAGAUGAGCCUAAGUCGGAUUAGCUAGUUGGUGGGGUAAAGGCCUACCAAGGCGACGAUCUGUAGCGGGUCUGAGAGGAUGAUCCGCCACACUGGGACUGAGACACGGCCCAGACUCCUACGGGAGGCAGCAGUGGGGAAUAUUGGACAAUGGGGGGAACCCUGAUCCAGCCAUGCCGCGUGUGUGAAGAAGGCCUUAUGGUUGUAAAGCACUUUAAGCGAGGAGGAGGCUACUUUAGUUAAUACCUAGAGAUAGUGGACGUUACUCGCAGAAUAAGCACCGGCUAACUCUGUGCCAGCAGCCGCGGUAAUACAGAGGGUGCGAGCGUUAAUCGGAUUUACUGGGCGUAAAGCGUGCGUAGGCGGCUUAUUAAGUCGGAUGUGAAAUCCCCGAGCUUAACUUGGGAAUUGCAUUCGAUACUGGUGAGCUAGAGUAUGGGAGAGGAUGGUAGAAUUCCAGGUGUAGCGGUGAAAUGCGUAGAGAUCUGGAGGAAUACCGAUGGCGAAAGCAGCCAUCUGGCCUAAUACUGACGCUGAGGUACGAAAGCAUGGGGAGCAAACAGGAUUAGAUACCCUGGUAGUCCAUGCCGUAACGAUGUCUACUAGCCGUUGGGGCCUUUGAGGCUUUAGUGGCGCAGCUACGCGAUAAGUAGACCGCCUGGGGAGUACGGUCGCAGACUAAACUCAAUGAUGACGGGGCCGCACAGCGUGGAGCAUGUGGUUUAUCGAUGCACGCGAGACUACUGGCUGACUACUAGAACUUC
rnacentral:rRNA from 1 species